rnacentral:rRNA from 1 species
CCUACGGGGGGCAGCAGCGAGGGAUUUUCGGCAAUGGGCGGAAGCCUGACCGAGCAACGCCGCGUGCGGGAUGACGCCCUUCGGGGUGUAAACCGCUUUUCGGUGGGACGUGGUACCACCGGAAUAAGCCUCGGCUAACUACGUGCCAGCAGCCGCGGUAAGACGUAGGAGGCGAGCGUUGUCCGGAUUUACUGGGCGUAAAGCGCGCGCAGGCGGUCCCCCAGGUCAUCUGUCAAAGCACCCGGCUCAACCGGGCUGACGCGGGUGAAACCGGGGGACUUGAGGGCGGUAGAGGGUGGUGGAAUUCCCGGUGUAGUGGUGAAAUGCGUAGAGAUCGGGAGGAACACCCGUAGCGAAGGCGGCCACCUGGGCGACCUGACGCUGAGGCGCGAAGGCCAGGGGAGCGAACGGGAUUAGAUACCCUUGUAGUC